GCUUGACACUGAACAUUGAGCCUUGAUGUGUAGGAUAGGUGGGAGACUAUGAAAUGUGGACGCCAGUCUGCAUGGAGUCAACCUUGAAAUACCACCCUUUAACGUUUGAUGUUCUAACCUAGGCCCAUAAUCUGGGUCGGGGACCGUGUCUGGUGGGUAGUUUGACUGGGGCGGUCUCCUCCUAAAGAGUAACGGAGGAGCACGAAGGUUGGCUAAGCAUGGUCGGACAUCAUGCGGUUAGUGCAAAGGCAUAAGCCAGCUUGACUGU
rnacentral:rRNA from 1 species